rnacentral:lncRNA from 1 species
AAUUUAAAACUUAUUCUUUGUAGGUUAGCACAAAGAAGCUGACGCCUAUGUAUGCAAACUUUAUACAAUUGAAUUCAAAAUCAUAAAGGUCAGUGGUCUUCGACGACUGUGGGGACACAUUGUUUGUCACUUUGUAUUUUUCUGUAGAAAUUUCUUUGGUGUUUCUUACUAUAGUGAUAGUGGGAAACACAGUGUUAUGUGGUCUUUGAUGACUUUGGGGACACAUGUUUGUUUUUUUCUCUUAUCUUCUCAUUUUUCCCUUAAUAUAUAGCACAUUGUGAUACCUUCUUCUUCAAAUCUCACUUUUACUCUAUCUCUUAUGGCUUUUUCAUCACCGUCUGACUUCAAGAGAUACCAUGUCUUUUCGAGUUUCCAUGGACCAGAUGUCCGUAGUGGAUUUCUCAGUCAUUUACACAAUCACUUCGAAAGCAAAGGGAUCACUCCGUUCAAGGAUCAAGAGAUCGAGAGAGGCCAUACGAUCGGACCUGAGCUCAUACAAGCGAUUAGAGAAUCUAGAGUCUCGAUUGUGGUGCUUUCAGAGAAGUACGCUUCUUCGUGCUGGUGCUUAGAUGAGUUGGUGGAAAUCUUGAAGUGCAAAGAAGCUUCGGGGCAAGUUGUGAUGACUAUUUUUUACAAAGUUGAUCCGUCCGAUGUACGGAAACAGCGGGGAGACUUCGGAAGUACUUUCAAGAAAACAUGUGAAGGGAAAACCUGGAUAGUGAAGCAGAGAUGGAUCAAAGCUUUGGAAUAUAUAGCAACCGUAGCUGGAGAACACUCUCUAAGCUGUUUUUUUUUUUUUCUCUUGGCUCAAUGAGUUAGAAUGCUUUUCUCUUUCUUAAUUGUUUCUUCAACCGUGGAAUUUCUAUCAUUUAAUUAGACCCACCAACUUGAUUUUGUUUGCUUUUAUUAGGGCUAAUGAAGCAGAGUUGAUCCAAAAGAUUGCUACAGAUGUUUCAAACAAACUUAAUCUUACACCGUCGAGGGAUUUUGAGGGGAUGGUGGGACUUGAAGCUCAUUUGACAAAACUGGACUCUUUUUUAUGCCUUGAGAGUGAUGAUGUAAAGAUGAUUGGCAUUUGGGGUCCUGCUGGAAUUGGUAAGACUACCAUUGCUAGAGCUUUAUUUAACCAACUCUCUACCGGUUUUCGGCUUAGUUGUUUUAUGGGGACCAUUGAUGUUAAUGACUAUGAUUCGAAGUUGUGUUUGCAAAACAAGCUUCUGUCCAAAAUUUUGAACCAAAAGGAUAUGAAGAUACAUCAUUUAGGCGCAAUUGAAGAAUGGCUACAUAACCAAAGAGUUCUUAUAGUUCUUGAUGAUGUGGAUGAUCUAGAGCAACUAGAGGUAUUGGCUAAAGAAAGUUCUUGGUUCGGUCAUGGAAGUCGGAUCAUUGUUUCCUUAAAUGAUAGAAAGAUUUUGAAGGCACAUGGGAUCAACGAUAUCUACGAUGUGGAUUUUCCAUCCGAAGAAGAAGCUCUUGAGAUCUUAUGUCUAUCUGCUUUCAAACAAAAUUCUCCACAAGAUGGUUUUGAAGAGGUUGCAAAAAGAGUAGUAGAGCUUUGCGGUAAGCUUCCAUUGGGCCUUCGUGUUGUGGGUUCUUCUUUUUAUGGGGAGAGCGAGGAUGAGUGGAGAAUUCAAUUAUAUGGAAUUGAAACUAAUCUUGAUAGGAAAAUUGAGAAUGUCUUGAGAGUGGGAUAUGACAAAUUGUCGGAGCGACAUCAAUCUUUGUUUCUUCAUAUUGCAUGCUUUUUCAACCAUAAAAGUGUUGAUUAUGUGACAACCAUGCUCGCUGACAGUACUUUGGAUGUCGAAAAUGGGUUAAAGACCUUAGCCGCUAAAUCUCUUGUGUCUACUAAUGGAUGGAUAACGAUGCACUGUCUACUACAACAAUUGGGUAGACAAGUUGUUGUUCAACAGGGUGACCCGGGGAAACGUCAGUUUUUAGUAGAGGCCAAAGAGAUUCGCGAUGUCUUGGCAAAUGAAACAGUAAGUUCUAAUCUAUAUACCCUGGAUAUUGCCUAAUUUUGUUUGUGAUAACAGUGUCAUCAGUCUUCUUUUGCAAUAUUUUGUAGGGUACUGAAUCCGUCAUAGGUAUAUCGUUUGACAUUUCGAAGAUCGAGACGUUAUCUAUAAGCAAGCGAGCCUUUAAUAGAAUGCGUAAUCUCAAAUUCUUAAAUUUCUAUAAUGGAAGUGUUAGCUUGUUAGAGGACAUGGAAUAUCUACCUCGUCUAAGGUUACUUUAUUGGGGUUCAUACCCGAGAAAAAGUCUUCCUCUGACAUUUAAGCCAGAAUGUCUCGUCGAACUCUAUAUGGGAUUCAGCAAGUUGGAGAAGCUAUGGGGAGGAAUCCAGGUUGGUAUUUGAUACUUGUGAUUGUGAAUACGUUUGUUUACCAAUGAUAUUUAACCUUAGUAUGAUAUUCCUCAUUUUUUUGUGUGUUUGACAUGCAGCCCCUCACAAAUCUAAAGAAAAUAAAUUUGGGAUAUUCCUCUAAUUUGAAAGAAAUCCCAAAUCUUUCGAAAGCCACUAACCUCAAGACGUUGACGCUUACCGGUUGUGAGAGUUUGGUGGAGAUUCCAUCCUCUAUUUGGAAUCUACAGAAACUGGAAAUGCUGUAUGCGUCAGGAUGCAUUAAGCUACAAGUUAUUCCCACCAACAUCAACUUAGCAUCUCUUGAGGAAGUCAACAUGAGUAAUUGCUCACGUCUGAGAAGUUUUCCAGAUAUAUCUAGUAACAUUAAGCGUCUCUAUGUAGCAGGCACAAUGAUUAAAGAAUUUCCUGCAUCCAUUGUUGGACACUGGUGUCGUCUUGAUUUUCUUCAGAUAGGCAGCAGAAGCCUCAAGAGAUUAACACAUGUCCCAGAGAGUGUAACACAUCUAGACCUACGCAACAGUGAUAUAAAGAUGAUCCCAGAUUGCGUCAUAGGUCUUCCGCAUCUAGUAUCUCUUCUCGUCGAAAACUGCACAAAACUGGUGUCAAUUCAGGGUCAUUCCCCUUCGCUGGUGACCCUAUUUGCAGACCACUGUAUAUCACUCAAGAGCGUAUGCUGCUCUUUCCACGGACCAAUCUCGAAAUUGAUGUUCUACAACUGUCUGAAACUGGAUAAGGAAUCAAAAAGAGGAAUCAUACAACAAUCGGGUAACAAGUCUAUAUGCUUGCCAGGUAAAGAAAUCCCUGCAGAGUUCACUCACCAAACUAUAGGGAACUUGAUAACCAUCUCCCUGGCUCCAGGUUGUGAGGAGGCUUAUUCUACGUUCUCAAGAUUUAAGGCUUGCCUCCUGCUUUCGCCAAUCAAGAAUUUCGCAUUUAAUAAGAUAAAUUGUUUUCUAAGAAGCAAAGGUGUCGAAAUUAGUCGCACUACAGAGUCUAUAUAUCCUUUUGUGUCUGGUGGAUCUCUAUCAGAACAUCUGUUUAUCUUUUGUGGCGACUUAUUUCCUGAAGAAAACAGAAGCCUUAUGGACGUGACUCCGAACGAGAUUCUGUUUGAUUUCAGCUCCAGUGAUGUCGAGAUUGUGGAAUGUGGUGUAAAGAUCUUUUUAAGUAGUGGCAUUGAAGUGGGCUACUGUGAAACUGGAGGCAACAGAAACCACCACAUAGAUGGAGAAGCAGAAGCGUUUAAGGUAACUCAAGUUGAAAACAGUAAACAUACAGGCCACUGGAGUUGGCUUAGGAAGCUUCGUCUGGGGAAGAAGAAGAUGAAGAAUAAUAAGACAGAGCUUAGUUCGAGACCAGUCUCAGGAUUUAGUGAUCUUACUCGGGGAAUCUUUAUAAGGUAUCAGGAGCCUGAAGCUGUUGAGCUCACUAAAGAUGAAAGAAUCACAGAUCUUUCGAGUUUACUAUGUAUUGGUUCCCUUGUGGUCUGUUUUUUUCUUUCUGUUUUUUUCGGGCAACCCCUUGUGGUCUCUGUUUUGUUGCUUUUUUCUUGCUUCUUUCUUCAGAUGCAAUGAGCUGCAUCACAGACAGAUCUUGUUGUGUUUGUAUGUGCGAAACAAAAAAAGAUUUCAGUUUUCUUGUUCUUAUAUAUACUCCCUCUGGGAGAGGCCUUGUUAAUCUAUCCAAAGAAGCACGAUGCUCUUUGGUGCAUUGGGGAUGCUCAUACUUCAUAUGGGGUUUUGACUCCUGAUCAAACUGAGGCUAGAGAUCACUUUGAGAAAGCUACUCUGCUUUUUCAACAAGCUUUGGAGGAGGUAAUUAGUCUCUUUCUUUUGUAAUCCUCACCUAAUCAAAGUGAUUGUUAUUUGUUUUUUGUGCGUGGUGUUUUGUAAUUUGAGAUGUAUAUUUACGCAGCAACCGGAGAAUGCUCACUAUGCGAGAUCACUGGAAUUGGCUUCCAAGGUACAUCUUUAUUGUUAAAGUUUCCUCAAAUUUGUCAUGUUUCAUCUUUUGGUUCUGGUUUAAGAAACUGAGAUCUACGUGUUGUAGAGGCUUAUCUAGUUGUCUUAGCAAUAGGAACUGCGAGGUGGUUUGGUUUGAUGGAUAUAUAUAUAAUCACUCAUAGACGGAGAAAAAUGUAUCUGAAUCAUACCUUUAUGCCUAGAUAUGAAGUUUCUUUAGUGUAGAAUAAACUCAUUGUACAGUGAAGCAAUGGUUAUGAAUCUUUGGUUUUUGUUCGUUAGACCAAUUCUCCUUCUAUUUGUGCAAAAAUGCAGGGUCCAGAACUAAAUACAGAGGUUCACAAACAUGGUUUAGGUCCACAACCAUUGGGCGGCACCGCAGGACCACCAUCUACCAGUGCGAAGGUAUUUUCUUUUCUUCAAAUAUCCCAAUUGGUUUGAUGAAAAUCUAACAUUUUUGUUCUUUCUUAGAUUACUUUGAGAAAGCUACUCAGUUCCUACAACAAGCUUUUUUUGUUUGCUCUCUUUUUAGUAUUCAUCAAAUUCAGAUGAGCUUUAAUGAUAAGGUCAUAUUCGUUUGAUUGAAUCUGCCUGAAAAUGUGAACUCUUUAUGUUAGAAUUUCAAAAUACUCUUGAAUUUGGAAUAUUCUUUUAUGUAUGUAUGUAUGUUAAGAUGUACAGUUUUCUCUAUUAAAAAAAAAAAAGAUGUACAUUUUGUUGAAAUUCGAAUUGGGUGGUUUGUUCGAAUUACAGGAAAUAUCACAGUUUCAGAAAGUCGAGAGUCAACAGACUCUCGAAUUAUUCACCUAGUUUUGAAAAUUUUGUCUUUAUUAGUUCCAUAAUCAGAGGAAUUUAUAACUUAUUCUCGUUAGCACAAAGAAGCUGAUGCCUAUGUAUGCAAACUUUACACAAUUGAUUUCAAAAUCAUAGAAGUCAAGGUCUUCGACGGCUGUGGGGACACAUUGUUUGUCACUUUGUAUUUUUCUGUAGAAAUUUCUUUGGUGUUUCUUACUAUAGUGAUAGUGGGAAACACAGUGUUCUGUGGUCUUUGAUGACUUUGGGGACACAUGUUUGUUUUUUUCUCUUAUCUUCUCAUUUUUCCCUUAAUAUAUAGCACAUUGUGAUACCUUCUUCUUCAAAUCUCACUUUUACUCUAUCUCUUAUGGCUUUUUCAUCACCGUCUGACUUCAAGAGAUACCAUGUCUUUUCGAGU